rnacentral:rRNA from 1 species
AUACAUGCAGUCGAGCGGACCGACGGGAGCUUGCUCCCUUAGGUCAGCGGCGGACGGGUGAGUAACACGUGGGUAACCUGCCUGUAAGACUGGGAUAACUCCGGGAAACCGGGGCUAAUACCGGAUGCUUGAUUGAACCGCAUGGUUCAAUUAUAAAAGGGGGCUUUUAGCUACCACUUACAGAUGGACCCGCGGCGCAUUAGCUUGUUGGGGAGGUAACGGCUCACCAAGGCGACCAUGCCUAGCCGACCUGAGAGGGUGAUCGGCCACACUGGGACUGAAACACGGCCCAAACUUCUACGGGAGGCAGCAGUAGGGAAUCUUCCGCAAUGGACGAAAGUCUGACGGAGCAACCCCGCGUGAGUGAUGAAGGUUUUCGGAUCGUAAAACUCUGUUGUUAGGGAAGAACAAGUACCGUUCGAAUAGGGCGGUACCUUGACGGUACCUAACCAGAAAGCCACGGCUAACUACGUGCCAGCAG